GACGAACGCUGGCGGCGUGCUUAACACAUGCAAGUCGAACGGAAAGGCCCUGCUUUUGUGGGGUGCUCGAGUGGCGAACGGGUGCGUAACACGUGAGUAACCUGCCCUUGACUUUGGGAUAACUUCAGGAAACUGGGGCUAAUACCGGAUAGGAGCUCCUGCUGCAUGGUGGGGGGUGGAACGUUUCGGCGGUUGGGGAUGGACUCGCGGCUUAUGAGCUUGUUGGUGGGGUAGUGGCUUACCCAGGCUUUGACGGGUAGCCCGCCUGAGAGGGUGGACGGCGACAUGGGGACUAAGAUACGGCGCAGUCUGCUACGGUAGGCAGCGGGCGGGAACAUUGCACAAUGGGCGGAAGUCUGAUGCAGAAACGCCGCGUGCGGGAUGACGGCCUUCGGGGUGUAAACAGCUGUCGCCUGUGACGAAGCGGGAGUGACGGUAAUGGGUAAAGAAGCACCGGCUAACUACGUG
rnacentral:rRNA from 1 species